GACGAACGCUGGCGGCGUGCUUAACACAUGCAAGUCGAACGGAAAGGCCCUGCUUUUGUGGGGUGCUCGAGUGGCGAACGGGUGAGUAACACGUGAGUAACCUGCCCUUGACUUUGGGAUAACUUCAGGAAACUGGGGCUAAUACCGGAUAGGAGCUCCUGCUGCAUGGUGGGGGUUGGAAAGUUUCGGCGGUUGGGGAUGGACUCGCGGCUUAUCAUCUUGUUGGUGGGGUAGUGGCUUACCAAGGCUCUGACGGGUAGCCGGCCUGAGAGGGUGACCGGCCACAUUGGGACUGGGAUACGGCCCAGACUCCUACGGGAGGCAGCAGUGGGGAAUAUUGCACAAUGGGCGGAAGCCUGAUGCAGCAACGCCGCGUGCGGGAUGACGGCCUUCGGGUUGUAAACCGCUUUCGCCUGUGACGAAGCGUGAGUGACGGUAAUGGGUAAAGAAGCACCGGCUAACUACGUG
rnacentral:rRNA from 1 species